rnacentral:misc_RNA from 1 species
GUAGGUGAACCUGCGGAAGGAUCAUUACAGAGUUCAUGCCCUAACGGGUAGAUCUCCCACCCUUGAUAUUUCUACCUUUGUUGCUUUGGCGGGCCGCUUCGGCCACCGGCUUUGGCUGGUGAGUGCCCGCCAGAGAACCUCAACUCUUGUUUAUUAGUGUCGUCUGAGUACUAUAUAAUAGUUAAAACUUUCAACAACGGAUCUCUUGGUUCUG